AUUGAACGCUGGCGGCAGGCCUAACACAUGCAAGUCGACCGAGUGGCGGACAGGUGAGUAAUAUCUGGGAAACUGCCUGAUGGAGGGGGAUAACUACUGGCAACGGUAGCUAAUACCGCAUCCCAUCGGAUGUGCACAGAUGGGCUUAGCUUUUUGGUGGGUUAACGGGUCACCAAGGCGACGAUCCCUAGCUGGUCUGAGAGUAUGACCAGCCACACUGGAACUGAGACACGUGCCAGAGUCCGACGGUCGGAAGCAGUGGGGAAUAUUGCACAAGGGGGGCAAUCCUGAUGCAGCCAUGCCGAGUGUAUGAAGAAGGCCUUCGGGUUGUAAAGUACUUCCAGCGGGUAGGCGUUAGCCGCAGAAGAAGCACCGGCUAACUCCGUGCCAGCAGCCGCGGUAAUAC
rnacentral:rRNA from 1 species